ensembl:lncRNA
AGAGGGCCAGACCUGGGGAGAGGUUCAUCCUAGCACAGCAGCCCUGGUCAGAGAUUUGCAGGGGCAACUCUCACAGAUAACGGCACCGUGAUGUUUGCUGGAUUGUUUUUCAUAUAGACUUUACUCAUGGAAGGAUGAUCUUCCUGUAACUUAAUAAGAUAAUGUUGCCAACAAUCUCUUCAAAAAAUACCCUGUUGAAACUUGCUGUCCUUGGGCUCUUGCCAGAGCCCAUUCCUGCCUCCUGCCUGCUGUCUGGCUUGUUUUUAGCAGUGGUUGCCUCUGGGCCGGGUUUGUGUUCUUGAAGAACUCAGUUCAGGAUGGUCCUAGCAGCUGAUGGAAGCCUCCAGAGCAAGUGGGUCAGGCUGUCAAGGUGGAACCCCGAGGCUGCAUGUGGCUGUGGAUACAGAAUUGAGUGGGCAUGAUCUGGAGAUACAGCAGGCCUCCCCACCCCAAGAUCUGUGUGAAGAACCUAAACGGAAAGAGUCAAGAUUUAGGAUGAACGAGAGGAGCUGGUGUCUUUCUGAAUUUUGUAUGAAGCACUUAUUCCUGUGUCAUUGCCAAAGACCUCUGGGAAAAGUGAACAGGAUCUCCCUAUUAAUGUUGAUCUCCACUCCUUGCCAUUAAUUGUGAAAGCCAUCAUAUUACAACAGUUUAGCUCAAUUUCAACCUUGAACCUGGAGUACUCCAAAUCCAAAGGUGGGAUUCAGCAACUGAGACAAAAACCAUUAUAUGCUUCCACGAUGAAGUUAUACAUCCAUAUCACUGAUUGACUUGGUGGUAAAUUUGAAAUGUUUGCCAUUAUUGGGUUGCUUUAGUUUUUGUUCAAAGUACUUAAAGAUAGGGUUUAGUCUGGUUUUUGUUGCUGGUCUCAGAAAACUAAACCUGCCUGAAGGUAGAUGAGUCAAAGAAGUAGAUCCGUGAAAGAGGUAAUUAGAACAAUCAG